rnacentral:lncRNA from 1 species
AAAAAAAUUGGAUUAUAGUAAUAAAAGGGGAUUAUUCAGUUUAAUGGUAAAAUGAAAGGAAGAUGAGAAGAAUGAAAACUGAUACCUGGUUAGAGAAAGAGAAAAAAAGGGGGUGAAGUGUAAAUCGGAAAGGAGAGGUUCAGUUGAUCGCCGGCAACAACAUAGGGGGAAAUCAACGGUUCCGAUAAAGCACGGGAGAAGGGUGGAGUAUACUUGGAGCAGAGAAGAAGAAGAAGAAUAUAAAAGAGAGAAAACUAAGCGCAAAACUUGG